rnacentral:ncRNA from 1 species
CCGCUCGCGGGGCCGGGGAAGCCGUUCGAGCAGCGUCGUGUCGCGGUCCGGGACUGUCCUCAGUCCCGGGUCGUCUCGGCGCGGUUCCGAGCGGUCGCUCCCUCGCGAGGUGCCGCGGGUCAGCGGCUGACGCCAGCCACCUUCCCGACCCGUCUUGAAACACGGACCAAGGAGUCUAACAUGUGCGCGAGCCGCGGGGCAGUACGAAACCCGUAAGGCGAAAUGAAGGUGAACGCCGGCGCGGUCCGGCGGAGGUUGGAUCCCGUCCCGUCGGGGCGGGCGCACUACCGGCCGAUCUUCUCCGCCCUGUCGGCGAGGUCGAGCGAGAGCGUGCAAGUCGGGACCCGAAAGAUGGUGAACUAUGCCUGAGGAGGUUGAAGCCAGAGGAAACUCUGGUGGAGGACCGUAGCGAUUCUGACGUGCAAAUCGAUCGUCAAAUUUGGGUAUAGGGGCGAAAGACUAAUCGAACCGUCUAGUAGCUGGUUCCCUUCGAAGUUUCCCUCAGGAUAGCUGGCGCUCUGUCGCAGUUUUAUCUGGUAAAGCGAAUGAUUAGAGGUCUUGGGGGGCGAAACGCCCUCAACCUAUUCUCAAACUUUAAAUUGGUAAGAAGCCCGACUCGCUCGUUUGGAGCCGGGCAUGGAAUGCGAGUGCCAAGUGGGCCACUCUUGGUAGCAGGACUGGCGAUGCGGGAUGAACCGAACGCCGGGUUAGGGCGCCCGACGCGACGCUCAUCAGAGCCCACAAAAGGGUGUUGGUUGAUAUAGACAGCAGGACGGUGGCCAU